UACGUAGGGGGCUAGCGUUGUCCGGAAUCAUUGGGCGUAAAGCGCGUGUAGGCGGUCCGGUAAGUCCGCUGUGAAAGUCGGGGGCUCAACCCUCGGAUGCCGGUGGAUACUGUCGGGCUUGAGUACGGAAGAGGCGAGUGGAAUUCCUGGUGUAGCGGUGAAAUGCGCAGAUAUCAGGAGGAACACCAGUUGCGAAGGCAGCUCGCUGGGACGUUACUGACGCUGAGACGCGAAAGCGUGGGGAGCGAACGGG
rnacentral:rRNA from 1 species